AGUGAACGCUGGCGGUAGGCCUAACACAUGCAAGUCGAACGGCAGCACAGUUAGAGCUUGCUCUUACGGGUGGCGAGUGGCGGACGGGUGAGGAAUACAUCGGAAUCUACUUUUUCGUGGGGGAUAACGUAGGGAAACUUACGCUAAUACCGCAUACGACCUACGGGUGAAAGCAGGGGAUCUUCGGACCUUGCGCGAUUGAAUGAGCCGAUGUCGGAUUAGCUAGUUGGCGGGGUAAAGGCCCACCAAGGCGACGAUCCGUAGCUGGUCUGAGAGGAUGAUCAGCCACACUGGAACUGGGACGCGGUCCAGACUCCUACGGGAGGCAGCAGUGGGGAAUAUUGGACAAUGGGCGCAAGCCUGAUCCAGCCAUACCGCGUGGGUGAAGAAGGCCUUCGGGUUGUAAAGCCCUUUUGUUGGGAAAGAAAAGCAGCAGGUUAAUACCCCGCUGUUCUGACGGUACCCAAAGAAUAAGCACCGGCUAACUUCGUG
rnacentral:rRNA from 1 species